AUAUUCAAUUACUUAUUAUUGCUAAUAACAUCACUAAUAACAGUCAACCGGCUCAUAUGAGUGUUCAAAAUCGUAAAAAGAAGACCUAUUGUUACUGUUCCGACAAUAAUGCUUAUGGAAAAGGGCUUGAAAACUUAAAAAUAUUUAUUUCCCCACUUCAUAAUAUGGAACAAAGAGAACUCUGGAUAUCAAGGCUAUUAAAAGGGUCAAUGAGGAUGGGACCAUGUGGAAGCCUCAUUAUUGGAGUUGCAUAUAUUCCAAAUAUUUGUAUUACCAGAAAAUACAAUUCCACUCGCGGGGACUGACUACUUUCCGACAUUAAUUCCAACGUCCCAUGUCCAUCCCAGAACCUGAGAUAAAGAACGUCACGGCCGUUUCUUGAAACGAAGAUAUAUGCAGAAGAGACUGGAAGUACAAACGAACAAAGUUGAUUCAAGUAGACUACGCAAAGCGAUAGCGAAUUUCAAUCUAUUUCUCAUUUACCCAUUUUUUUCUCACACUUUGAUGGUAAAAAUUUAUUGUGCGAGUUUAACGCCCAGCCCAGCAAUUCCAAAAUGGCAACCACUAUAUCCAAGGUUAACCACAUAAAUAGGGAACUUCGGUUGAUAUUACAAGAAGAAUUUAAAAAUCUUUUCUCAAUGAAGAAUUUAGUGACAAACGAAGACUUUAAAGCAUGUUCAAGUACACAAAUAUUUGCAAAAAAUAGUACACCUUUUGAAAAAAAACACUACGACAAUCAGUUUAGUAAUAACUAAUUGUCAACAAAUAUUGCUAUUUUUCACCACUUGGGUGAUAAACAAACUCAUAUUGAGAGUUCUGACAUUGUCUAUUCAGUUGAUUGAGAGAAAAACUGAGAUCUGUUUUGGAUUAUGGUCUCAAAGAUAAAUUCCUUUUUUUUUUGGUUGAAUUCAUUUGUACAAAAGGAGUGUUUCCCUGUGUAAUGUAUCUUUCGAAUGCUGGAACGUUUUUAUCAACAACUAUUACCUUUAAUUUUCAUCUAUACAAUAAUUUUAUUUUCAAACAUGACUCUGAAUAUAUUAUACUCUAAAAACGUGAUUUGAAAAAAGUCUUGAAAGCCCAAAACUAAUGCAGUUGAAAAUUUUAAUGGACAUUUUCGUGUUCAUGCCUUAAAUAAUAACAAUAAAGGUGGCCUUUAGACGGCGGCCGUUUCAAGACCUGAAUAAUAGACUAUAGUGAAAUCAAUUAUGAUUGCCCUUUUUGGGGGUACAAAGCCUAUAUUGGCCGACGGAAUAUGGAAGAGGAAAAAAUUGAUACCGCUCACAUUAGAGCAAUUAUGAUAUCUGCUGCAGCAAGGUAUACUGCAUUUAAAUUGAAGAUACCGAACCUAACCAACGAUGCAUCGUGGAGGUACACAUUUGGAUUAAUAAAAUAGUUCCCAUCGACAUCUGCUAGGCAUUAGAAAACGUUAAAACGUAUCAUCAACUAUUACAAGAAGCAUGUCGUGAAGUCCGAGGUCCUGGAAUAGUUUAUUUUAUUUUAUUAUAAACUUGAGUAUUUUAAUAAUUUUAAUUUUUUUUUGUUUGGAAUUUAUAUAUAUAUAUGAAAUAUGAUUUAAUGAUUUGUAAAUGAUAGUCAAUGACAAGAAAUUUAGAUCUUUAAAUAGGAAAUUAAUUUUAAACUAUAAUGGUUAUUUAAGUAUGCAUAUAUUACGCAAAUUUCCUGUUUGUAUUUAAAUAAAGACCUUCCU
rnacentral:lncRNA from 1 species